rnacentral:tRNA from 1 species
GGGGUUGUGGCUUAGUGGUAGAGCGCUUGCCUGGCAAGUGCAGGACCCUGGGUUUGAUCCUCAGCACCA